rnacentral:lncRNA from 1 species
UCCUGUUGCUUUUCUUUUGUGUAACGAUCUUCAAUUUGUGCUUUGAGACCAAUCUUUUUUCAUGGAAGUGGAUCUCAUAAAUUGGAUUGACGUUAGGCUCUUUUUCUUUCCGGUUGAAAUAGUCAUAAUCUUGAUUCCUACAAUUAAAAAGGGAGAAGAUAUUCUUAGUUAGCCGUUGUAAAACUCAUACAGAAAAGAAUAUUAAAGAAUACAAACAGGUCACUCGAUUUUUGCUAUAAAAAUAAAGAAGCUGAAGGCUUAUAUCCCCAUUCUGCUAUCUCUCAAGUACCUUAUCAUUUUGACGAUAUAUUUAAACCAACAAUUUUCUCAUUCUCAUCUUUUACUACAACAAUUUUCGUGACAAACUCAAAUUUACAUCAUUUAAUUGGAUUUGGUGCAUCACAUUAUGCAAUGCAUCAAUGUUCGAUUGUCAAAAAUGGUCUGUUAAGCGUCACAUUCUACAAUGCAUUAAUUGAAAAUAACUCAUUGCAACUUUGAAGUAGCUAAAUUUACUUUAGAAGGCCAUGAGACCUGAAAAUUCAUAUGCAAUAUGCCUUCAAUUCCUUUCCGAUAUUUUAUCAAAUAAGUAAGGUACAUUUAACAUUGCCAUAGCUGAUCUUGGCCAUGGUUAUUGCUACUUUUGCUUAACAAAUAUAAUAGUUCUUUCGAGACGAUAAAAACAACAAAAAUAAAAACUAGCAUCCUAACCUUUCAUAAAGUCCAUCUCUUUCAAUUGGAGCAGAUUAUUUUUCUGCUUGAAAGCAUAAAAGAAAGUCCAGAUAUAAGGAUGGAGACGAUAGAAUAUGGAGAUUUUGGGGGAAG